rnacentral:tRNA from 1 species
GGGGGCGUGGCGAAAUUGGUAGACGCAUCGGACUUAAAAUCCGAAGGCCUUGGCCAUCCGGGUUCGAGUCCCGGCGCCCCUA